CAGCCGCCGCGGGAAUACAGAGGGUGCGAGCGUUAAUCGGAUUUACUGGGCGUAAAGCGUGCGUAGGCGGCUUUUUAAGUCGGAUGUGAAAUCCCUGAGCUUAACUUAGGAAUUGCAUUCGAUACUGGGAAGCUAGAGUAUGGGAGAGGAUGGUAGAAUUCCAGGUGUAGCGGUGAAAUGCGUAGAGAUCUGGAGGAAUACCGAUGGCGAAGGCAGCCAUCUGGCCUAAUACUGACGCUGAGGUACGAAAGCAUGGGGAGCAAACAGGAUUAGAUACCCCUGUAGUCCCUGUCUCUUAUAA
rnacentral:rRNA from 1 species